rnacentral:lncRNA from 1 species
AAGUGGGUCUCUCCCAGGAAUCAGCAGCAUCCUUGUGUUUUUCAAGGUAUUCAGACAGACCUUGCCAACACCUGGGCAGCUUUAGAAAGCUCUGUCCUUCUCAGGUAGGAUUCAUGUUCACAUUUCCAGAUUAAAUCACCAGUGCCACUGGAACUUGAGAAUGAAGAGAGAUCAUUCUUAGCCUGAACAAAAGGGACUUCAUGCCUGACUUGUUCCCCAGGGUGAACAAACACAGCCAUGUUUACCCUCACCAGGGCACAUUUGCAAGCUGAAAAAGACUGGGCAUAUUCAUCCAUUUCCUAUUUAGAGUAAUAGGGAGCUCAGCUGGGAUGGUUACUAGGUUCACAAAGAAAGAGGCAAAAUUUUGGCAAGUCAUUGGGAGACCUAGCAACAAAAUUCGCUUCCCCCCCACUCCUUUCCCAUCCAUUUGAAAUGCAGGUUGCCUCAAAGCAGCAUGAAAUCCCUGGGAACUUCUUGUGCCCUUUCAACAAAUCAGCUCGAUGAAGGGAGAUGACUCAGUCUCCUCUGCCCCUGAAAGCCAGAGCCAACUCUGGCUACCAGCACUCUUGGCUUCACAAAAGAACAAUUUACCCUGGUUCCCUCCCAGACUCCAGUCAGUCUCCCUGAAACUUCAAGUGGCAUCAAAGAGGGUCUUCAGCAAAAAGAGAGAACAGCUGGUCUCAAUCUUUUCUCUGACAGUUUUUCACAUGCUGGGGGACUUAAAAGGAUUUGUCCUACUUCAUUAGCAAAGUGCCUCAGGGAAAGUACACAGGAUAACUGAGAAAAUUUCUACUGAGCAUGAUUGAAGAAAACUCACCAAAAAAAGGUAAAUAAGUCCCUCUGACUCUUCCUGUGUUGUUCGUGUUUUGUAAAAUGUGUUAAACACUUGUGAUAUACUUUUUUUGAGCACUUGUGACCCUUAUGACCCUGAAUUGCUAACCUUUAGAUUAAAAAACAAAGUUUUUAGGGUUUUGGCCCCUAUGGAUUAGCUUGGUCAUGUCAAUCCUCCCACUGGCAACAAUAAUUAAACAUAAACAAGAUUAAAACUAGCAAACAAACAACUAUUUGAAGGCAUUGCAAUGACCAAAAACAAGCAGAAACUAGAGAAGACUGCUUUUGAAAGAUGAACUGCAGUAGGUUAAACUUACCAUUUUGUGGCUAUUUGCUUCAAAAAAUAUGUAAAAUAGAGCAGAAACACACAAAACUACAUUCGUAAGGGGUCAGAGAAUAUAGUUUUGGGUUGCCAGAGGAGUCAGAAUGUUUGGGGAGGAAAUCUUGAAAGUGAAAACAAGUGUCGAAAUUUACCCAGCCUUUUUGCUAACCAGUAAACUACGUAUUUACAGGGAAGAUCCUAGAAUGCAAGAAUAAAAGCAGCAGGUGGAGGCUAAAAUUACUGCAUAGAGAGUCAGCUAAUACCAAUGCAGAAGAGACAGAGUUUGACUAUCAAAUUAACUGCCUACUAGAAUAUUUUUUAAAAAAUCAUUCCCCAGAUAAACAUAGUGGAAGCCAGAAUC